rnacentral:snRNA from 1 species
AUCGCUUCUCAACCUUUGGCUAAGAUCAAGUGUAGUAUCUGUUCUUAUCAGUUUAAUAUCUGAUACGUCCUCUAUCCGAGGACAAUAUAUUAAAUGGAUUUUUGGAGCAGGGAGAUGGAAUAGGAGCUUGCUCCGUCCACUCCACGCAUCGACCUGGUAUUGCAGUACCUCCAGGAACGGUGCACCACCU